UUUCCUAUAUUUUUUUUGUACUUACAAUUCAAAGAGUACACCUUUUGUUUCCACCGUCUUCUUCCUGUUUUUGUUCUUGCUCUCCACAUCUGUUUGUGUUCUUGCUGCAAGUAUGUUUCUUCUUCAAUUAAUUCUGCACAUAUCUUCUUCUUUUUCCUUAAUUCUUUUUUUUUGGGUUUUCUCCAUCCUUUUUAGUUUUGCUAUCCAAUGACUGUAGAAUCCAUUCAUCUUCAACCUCAAACUUCAUGUUUUGUAUCUCGCUUUAUCUCCCCCCCCCACUAGAAGCUUCAGCCACUUGGAACGAUUUCCCAUUGUUGAUCUUCUUUUUUCUAAAGCCUAAAUGCUUCUCUAUCUCAGUCCGAUACUGACACUGAUCUGGUUGAUAAGCCUAAUUAAGAAGAAGAAAAUUUUGGGUAAAACGUCACAUUGCUUAGUUUGGAGUUCUUUAUCUUCUUUAGUUCUGUUCCAAUGUUCCUUUCUUCAAUUUCAUCGCCCCUCUUCUGCUCUUUCAUGGCUCUCUCACGGUAAACUAUUACUGAUUUUGUUUAUCUGUAAUGCUAAGUUAGAUGGUGAAAAAUAGAUAGUAUUAAACUGGAAACAGUUGUGUCGAAGAAUCUUGUAGCAUUAUACUUGGGUACUAUAAGCUGGGUGGAUCCAUGACAUUUAGUGCCGUAAAAUUAUCUCCAUGUAGUAGUUCUUGUAAAGAUCUGCUUGCAAUCUGAACAGGCUAAGAAGCAGAACUGCUAGUUCUCAUUUGGUAGUGCGAGUUCAGCUUCUAGCAAUUAAAAAUUCAGAGGAAUACAUAUAAAUUUUAUUGUUCUUACAUAUAAAUUUUUAUUGUUCUUACCGGAGGUUGCUUCUGGAUAUUGCCAAUUGGUAUGAUCUCUUCCUGGAAAAGGAACACUCAUAAGAGAGCCUAUUGGAGUUGUACUCCUUGCCGUGUAUACUGCUCAUGAGUUGUGUUCAUUAACAGUAUCUUGUAUACUGCUCAUGAGUUGUAUUCAUUGUUAAUCCUGUCGCGUAAAGAUAGAAAGUAUAUGUUGUUACUUUGAUGGUAAUAAUUUUAUAUAUGUAUUUAUAAUUGUAUACCAUCAAAAAGUGAUAUUCUAAUUGUCUAACAUGUUUCAGAUAGAAGCAAUGAGUCUCUCAUGACAGGAGUACUCAGUUCGCUUAAGACAUUAGCCGCCUCCGAGGAUGAUGCAUUAGCGGAGUUGGUAAUAAUUGAGCUGGCAACAAGAUGAUGUCUGUUUGAUUCAGCUUUGUUUUCUCCUACUCGCGCUAAGAGAACCCUUUUAUUAGCUUGCAUCUUUCUAUAUAGGCAGAAUACAUAGUUUACCCCCAGAACUAUGGACCAAAUCCCUGUGACACACCUUUUGGGAACAAAAAUUACCUUACACACUCAACAUUUCCAAAGUGUAUCUAAUACACACUACUUUUACACUCGUGAUUUACACGCACAAGAGGCGAGUGAAGAGUUAACAUGUUGUAUCUAAAUCGUCAUCUGGAAACUAUUUGUGCAGGUUUUUCAUUUUUCAUUUUUUUAUUUUCUAAAAAGAUUUCAUCAAUUCUUUUCCAGGUACCAGAUUUUCCCCCCAAGAUCUAAAGGGGAACGAGAAAAUACAAAGAACUAGAGUUUCCAUAUUUGAACACCAAUAUAUUUUGGUUAUGACUCGCGAUUCAAAUCUCCAAAUUGACAAUUGUUUUUGAGAUUGGGUGUUUUUCAGAUUUAGAUUUUGAUUAGCUUCUUGAAAUAAUAAGGAAGGUGAUUUAAUCCCAGAAUGAUUGCUCUUUUUCCAGUUUUGAUAAACUAGAUACAGAAUAAUCCCAAUCGGGUUUUAUUUUUUUCUCUCUAA
rnacentral:lncRNA from 1 species